rnacentral:tRNA from 1 species
CGGGGCGUGGCUCAGCUCGGUAGAGCGCUGCGUUCGGGACGCAGAGGUCCCCGGUUCAAAUCCGGGCGCCCCGA